CCUACGGGAGGCAGCAGUGGGGAAUUUUGCGCAAUGCUCGUAAGAGUGACGCAGCGACGCCGCGUGAAUGACGAAGGCCUUCGGGUCGUAAAGUUCUUUCGACAGGGAAGAAACUGCCUAUCCGUCCCUGUGUAUGUAUUGACGGUACCUGUAUAAGCAGCCCCGGCUAACUCCGUGCCCGCAGCCGCGGUCAUACGGAGGGGGCGCGUGUUGUUCGGCGUGCCUGGGCGUACCGCGCCCGUAGUCUGUGUUGGAAGUCAUUAGUCAAAGACUAGCGCUCAACUUUAGUAAGGCUAGUGAUACUAUAAUACUAGAGUAUCAGAGAGGAUUGCAGAAUUCCUGGUGUAGCGGUGAAAUGCGUAGAUAUCAGGAGGAAUACCGUUAGCGAAGGCGGCAAUCUGGCUGGAAACUGACGCUGAGGUGCGAAAGCGUGGGUAGCAAACAGGAUUAGAUACCCCAGUAGUC
rnacentral:rRNA from 1 species